GAUGAAGUGGCUGAAUUUGUAAGGCAAUAAAUUGUAAAUUUAUCUAUGAUUAGUAAUUAAUCCUUUAUCA
rnacentral:tRNA from 1 species